GGUGAUAGAUGUUCCAGUAAAAUCUCGACUUGUGCUCCUUCUUCGGUCUUAGAAACAGCGCAAAUAUCUGCAAUGUCAGAAAAGUGAAUGAAAAUAGCCCUUCAAUGAAUAGAACAAACAACAACAAUCCCUUAAGGGACCAUUUGGUAGCUGGUAUCAUAGAUUUUCAGUUGAGAUAUUUCAAGAAUCUGGAUGUCAUGUAUAGAUUUUACGAUUGCCAUAUAAUGUCUGGAAUUAUCUCAAAACUUAGCUACAUCUGUAACGCUCAACAUCAGCCCUCCGCCUCUCUAAAGAUCACGAUAUCAUGCCAUUUAGCAGUGCGAAAUUAAUGUGGGACAGAAGCCGAAAGGAGUAAGAACCUUUAAAUUUCUCUAUGUUCAGAUGCAGUUCAGAUCUUUCAAGUACAACAUUCUCUAACUUAUCUUAUCUGAAUUUAUCUGAACUUAACUGAACUUAUCUGAAUUUAUCAAAAUUUAUCAAAACUUAUUUUAGUUAUAAAUUAUACUUGGUCAACCCUAUUUUUACUGAACUUAACUGAACUUAUUUUUCCUGAAAUAAGUGGAAAUAAGGUGAACAUAACAGGGCCUUACUUGUAGAGUAGCAAGUGCAAAGAGGGCAAUGCCGAUGUAGCGGUGGCUCGUGUAUACAAUACCAACUGACUUGCUUCCGAGCUGAAGACCGGUGGCCCAGCCGGCAACACCAAUAGCAUAUCCAGAUAUUUGGCAACCAACAUGAAUAUAAAAC